rnacentral:rRNA from 1 species
UACGUAGGGUGCAAGCGUUAAUCGGAAUUACUGGGCGUAAAGCGUGCGCAGGCGGUUUUGUAAGUCUGUCGUGAAAGCCCCGGGCUCAACCUGGGAAUGGCGAUGAAGACUGCAAGGCUUGAAUCUGGCAGAGGGGGGUAGAAUUCCACGUGUAGCAGUGAAAUGCGUAGAGAUGUGGAGGAACACCGAUGGCGAAGGCAGCCCCCUGGGUCAAGAUUGACGCUCAUGCACGAAAGCGUGGGGAGCGAACAGG